rnacentral:lncRNA from 1 species
UUGCUGUCUGUGCCAAAAAAACAAAAGAUGGAAAUAAAACUGUCACGUUGAUCGCAACUUAAUUAGGGAGUACACAUCAUGAAUGGUUUGGUUAAUAAGCUAGAUGCAGACUAGAGUAACCUAGACUGUUUGAAAACAACAUUAGCUAAAACAAAACAUUAUUUAUGUUUGAUAAGCUUUGAAAUAAAGCAAAAAAUAAUAAAGAAUAAUUGUGCUCGUCGUUCUUUCAUAUAAUAGAAUUCAUCGAUUAUCAUAUCAAUUGUGAAUCUUUCAGCAAUUUCUUUUUCUAUAUAGACAAUCAAAUAAUUUGCAAGAAAAUCAUCAUCCAUCCGAUUGCGAAGUCUUGUUUUAACAGUCUUCAUCGCUGAAAAAGCUCGUUCAGUAGGCUGUGAGUUAUCAAUAUAUUUUUUUUCAAAAAAAGAAUUAAUUCUUUUUAUUUUGUUCAUGGUUCAACCUAAAAUCAAAACAUAUAUCGUAAGAAAAAAUUGAUAAUUUUGGCGGUUCUGCUAAAAACAAAACAUAAAAAAAAUCCAAGCAUAAUCAAAACAAACCAAUAAAAUAUAUCUAAUUAAUUAGAAAAAAAAAUCAAUAUAACAAGAAUUCAAAAAACAAUUGAAAAAACUAGCAGAUCUAAGAAAAAAAAAGAGCAAAAAUGAUAGAAUUAUUAAAAAAACCUCAUCAAAUUAUUAACAAACAUCUCAAAACAAAACAAAAAUAUAUUUUAAAUUUAAGUUACCUUGUUUUGUUUGAUGAAAGAUAAAUUAAUUAGUAGCUCUGUUUUAAUUUUUUUGUAGAAAAAUUUUGCUCGCGAUUUAUGUUUUUGAUCGGCUGCAGGAUUUAUAUUAGGGUAAAUUGGUGGCUCUGUUUUUUAUUUCACAAAAUAAUGUCUUUAUAUAUAUUUUUUUUUCAUGUAGGUCAAGAGUAAAUUCAAAAAAAAUCAAAAAUAAAAUCACAUUUAAUUUAGGAGCGCUACCUUUUUAAAAUAAAAAAUAUAACACUUCCUCCUAUUUAAUUACCCAAUUACCCAAUACAGGAAAAAAAAAAUAUUGCAGGGGCAAGUAUUGCAGGGGGGGCCCGGGCCCCUGCUUGCCCCCCCUUGCUUCCGCCCCUGGCUGCAUGGACAUGAGGAAAAUAAGAGGAAGGAAAGCUAAAACAUCAUUAUAAAAUAUAAUCAAUAAUAUAUAUAUAUAUAUAUAUAUAUAUAUAUAUAUAUAUAUAUAUUCACACACACGAGAGAAGAAAAAAACACAUAAAAAAGCAUAUAGAAAUUAAAACCAAUGAAUUGAUGUUGCUGUCUGUGCCAAAAAAACAAAAGAUGGAAAUAAAACUGUCACGUUGAUCGCAACUUAAUUAGGGAGUACACAUCAUGAAUGGUUUGGUUAAUAAGCUAGAUGCAGACUAGAGUAACCUAGACUGUUUGAAAACAUUAAUGCACCUUAGUCAACCGGUAAAAGGAACAUGAUUUCAGGAUAAAACAAAAGAACAACCUAAUUUUAGUUCGAAACCUAUGUACUCAUUCUUAAUUGAGUCUAAGACCAAUAAACUAUAUCAAUUUGAUCCUGAGUGUUUUCUUAAAGAUUAUUGUCUUUCUGUAAUGUUCAUCAACAUUUUGAGACUAAAUUGAAGUUUCUCCUAAAGCAAAUGUAGUCUUCCACUCAUUAGAAAUGAGAAAACCAUUAACAAGGGGACUAAUGUCUUUGAAGAAAAAUUACAAAACAAAAGUCAAGAUCAUUGAUGGAAUUAGCACACCAAAUUUCCAUAAAAUCUUUCUAUCUACCACUUUUACGUCUCUUACUAAUUAAAAAAAAAAAAGAGGACUAAAUUUCCUUGCAUGAUUACUACAAAAAUCAUUUCAUAAUCCUUCCAAAAGAAAAUGACAAACUUAAACAUGCCUUGGAUUCAUCAUUAAUAAUUAACAUUAUCCUGCUGACCUUGUAGACCUGAG